GGUAAUGUCUUAGCGGUGCGCGUGACACGCCGUUGCGAGUACGAACGGGAUCGGUAUUCUUUUGUUUCCCUUCCUUUUUUUUUGUUUUGUUUUACUCGGAAAACACACCCUUUCCGUACGAGCGGCUGGGUUUACAUUAUUUCGAAAAUAGCUGGUGACCGUUAUUACAUUUUUGUUUUGUGUCGAAGAACGCCGUUUCGUCGUGUCUCGUUACCAUUACCAGAAUGUCGUCGACCUCUCAAAAGAAAUAAAUAACGAGGUAUAUAGACAGCUCACCUCCUGAGAUCUCGUGGUAACUGCUGAAUCUGACGUGCAUCAGUGGUGCAUAACAGUGCUUUUUGUGAACUGCGGAAGAAAAUUUUAUAAAAUUCGUUUGAAAAAAGUGCAAAUACGAUAGUGCCACCGCUCAAUGCGGACAGGAAUAUACGUGGAGCCAACGUCCACAGGAAUUCUCCGUCGUCCCUGCAGCCGCCCAAGGAUGCCAGAGUCGGUGAAGAAACGGUGACACUCCGACCUGUAGCGGCAAGACCUGUCAAGGACGCGGCCUCCCCCAACUACUGCGAGCAGGAAACACGAGGGGGCUAAGAGCGUGCAACAGCGGACGGCUGCAGUCUCGCCCGAACGGCGAGCGGAAGAGAGAACAACGACAAAAAAGCAACGAAGUCUGUGGAGGAGUGCCCCAUCCUCGCUUUUAAUUUAUUCCUGUCUGGGCAGAGAAAGAGAGGGAUUAAGACGUGCAGACGGGGGAAGUGCCACGAGCUGACAGAGAAGGGAACGAGACAAUAAUCUCUCGCUGCGCGGGCUGAAUGAAAUGAUUUAUCUCCCCCUUGCGUGAUAUCGCCCCAUUCUCAGUGCGGCAUAUCUUCGGGAACAGGUCCUUAAGCUCUGGAGCAGCGAGAAUCCUUUCCUACUUUUUUCCCCCGCUGUCGCGACGGAAGAAGACAUUCUUGAUUCGACAUCGAACGAUACGGGUGACGUCUAGUGCCUUCAGAGCGUUUUUUUUUUUAUGUUGACAAUACUGUCAAAUAUGAGCAGAGAUUCAUCUCUUUGACAGUGUGACGAAGAAAAAAAGAAGCAACAGAUACGAGCGGCUUGUAAUAUCUCUGCGUUUUCCACAGAGGUAUAAACUCACUCUGAGUAUAUAUUGUGCGGUUUUGUUUUUGUGUGUGUGUUUUUUUUUCUUGUGCGAGAAGUGCUCGAUCGCUCCGUCGUUUCGGUUCGUUUCGCGAAGUUUUUCCGCGAAAUUCUGCGCUUGCCGGUUUCGUUCGUCGCGCCGCUUUUUCCGAAAAAUUUUUAACCGUUUUGCUGACCGGCAGAGAAGGAAAAAAAAUAACAGUUUUCUGUUGCACUCCUUACCGAUUUAGAAACAAAUGUGAAAAUCAUAGGUUGUGCACGUAGAUUUAUUUUAUUGUUUUUUACGUUUAUUUUUGCUGCCAACAGUGAGCGCGUUUGACGGUAAGGACUCUCGUGGAACAGUAUCUCAGUUUUGUUUCUUCGUUUCGCGUGUGUCCACUGGUGACGUCACGUCCAGUGUGUUCAGUACCCGCGUUGCAACGAAUUGAGGUGGUGGUUGUUGUUCAUCGAGCAAUCUCUGAUCAUCGGAGAAAACCGGCAGCUGCCACGAGAAGAAGAGAGUUCCUUGGAUGUGGAUAGCGAUUUUUGCUGCGACCAGGGACGGCAAGAAGAGACACGAGUGUUAGCGUGGCGGUCGCGAUGCUGAAGGCGCUGCGCCGGCGGCCGGUGCGGUUCGCGGCGCUGGCCGCCGCAGUGGCCGUGGCGCUGCUGUGCCUCUACUACCGCAACAUGGCCGCCGCCGGGGAGUCCC